rnacentral:rRNA from 1 species
UUCAUAGCAAGGGCCGGGCAAGACCGGUGCCAGCCGCCGCGGUAACACCGGCGGCUCGAGUGGUAACCGUUAUUAUUGGGUCUAAAGGGUUUGUAGCCGGCCGGAUAAGUCUCUUGGGAAAUCUGGCAGCUUAACUGUCAGGCUUUCAGGAGAUACUGUCUGGCUCGGAACCGGGAGAGGUGAGAGGUACUUCAGGGGUAGGGGUGAAAUCUUGUAAUCCUUGAAGGACCCCCAGUGGCGAAGGCGUCU